AUGUUGUUUGAUCACUUCACAUCUGUGUGUCAGCCCUAAAGCAGAGAUGUACUAUGGUGAUACUCCAGGGUGGCAUAGCCAUUCAUUUACAGUUCGCAGACUUUUUGCGUUUUCUGGAGGAAAUCCACACCAGCCCUCUACAAGAUGAUGUGCAAAGGUGUUUUCCCAGAAGGCUAGACUUGCUUGGAUCUGACUGGAAAGC
rnacentral:lncRNA from 1 species